ensembl:lncRNA novel transcript
GUUGAAUCCAUACAAUGGAAUGGUAGCAGACAAUAAAAAGAAAAUGAACUAUUGAUGCCCCCUACUGCACAGCAGAAGCUCUGAAUCGUGUUCCUGAAUGAAAGAAGUCAGGUUCUUCAGGAGGGAUUCCAGAACAAGGCACUCUCAUCACAGGAGAUGACAGCUCCAUGUGCAUGACGGCCCCAGAAGACCAUCUGGUAGGACAAGAUGUGGAGGUGGAACGCAGUGAUAUUGAUAAUCCUGACCCUGGAGAUGAAAAGAUGGGCCAGGAGUCCAGUUUCUGGAAGGCCAAGAAUCGAAGUAGUAAGCUGCAGCCGUUUUCCAGACAAGCAGGAUGUGGGGAUGCAGAAGAAUUCAGGACUGGAGGGGCAAACUCCGUAAGCAGGGGCUGUCACGAUUCCCAUCUCCCUCUAUAAACCUCUCUCUUUUCAUGUCAUACUGUUCCAUGUUAUAUGUAACUGUUUUAAAGCUACAUACUGGACAAAAAGUGGAA